GUUCGUUUUCUUCUUUCUCGUGAUCGUAAUUUCAGAUCGGUCCGUUUCUCUUUAACUGACGACAGACAGACAGAGAGACAGACAGAGAGACAGACAGAGAGACAGACAGAGAGACGGGGAGAGAGACGGGGAGAGAGACAGGGAGCGAGACAGCAAAGAGACAGGGGCGAGAGACAGGCAGAGAGACAGGGCGAGAGACAGCAGAGAGACAGACAGAGAGACAGCAGAGAGACGGGGAGAGAGACAGCAAAGAGACAGGCAGAGAGACAGGGCGAGAGACAGCAGAGAGACAGGGCGAGAGACAGCAGAGAGACAGGGGAAAGAGACAGCAGAGAGACAGGGGAAAGGCAAUACAAACAUGAACUAAUAUUUGUUAAAUGUUUAUUUAGUUUCUAAAUAAUUAACAUGACAAUUGUCCCUCACAACUUGUUUACUAAUGACCAGACAAUAAUAUCAAUCAGAAUACUAUUACUGAUCAUAUUGUAGUAGUGUAUAUUAUUGAUCAUUUUGUUGUCAAUAAUAUAAAUAUGAUCAAUGAUAAGAUUUAUCUUCAAUAUCAAUAAUAGUGUAAAUAUUUUUAUUGAUAUAAUCACAUCACAUGUCAUUUAUCUGACGCUUUUAUCCAAAGCAACUUACAAUAAGAACAUUUAACCAUAAGGACACAAACUCAGAAGAACAAGAAACAAGAAAGUGUGAUUUCAUAAAUUAAACCGAUAUGAUAUCUGUUAUCUAUAGCAAGUUGUAUAAGUCCAAUGUCAGUGCUGCAGUCAGUUAGUGUGUUAGUGGAGGUAGAGUGUGAAGAGGUGUGUCUUUAGUCUGAAGAUGUGAAGGCUCUCUGUGGUCCUGAUGUCUUCAGAGACCUCCUUCCACCAUUUAGGAGCAGGACAGCAAAGAGUGGAGAUCUAGUCGAGUGUUUUGCUCUCAGUGAGGAGGAACAAGCAGUUUAUCACAUGCAGAGAGGAGAGGUCAGAGGUCGGGAUGUCGGGUUGGACCAGGUCCUGGAUGUGAGCUGGACCCCAUCCAUUCACAGCAUGGUACGUGAGCACCAUGUUUAGAACUGGAUGAGCCACCGGUACCAGUGAAGAGAGCGGAGGAGUGGAGGAGUGAGGGAGAACUUAGGAAGGUUAAAGACCAGUGGAGCUGCUGCAUUCUGGAUGAGCUGCAGAGGUGGAAUGGUGGUAGCAGGAGACCUGCAGGAGAGAGUUACAGUAGUCCAGGAGGGAGACGACAAGAGCCUGAAUCAGUACCUCCUUCUGAGUGAGAAGAGGACGUGUUCUCCUCAUGUUGUAGAGCGAGUAUCUACAGGAUGGUGUUGUCAGUGAUGUUGGAGUCAGGGAGAGUCGGCUGUCGACGUCACGCUGAGGUUCCUGCAGUCAAAGUGGACGUUAACACGGAGUCUCAAAGUUAACAGUCAGGUCCUGUGUAGGAGAAUCUUUUCCCAGAAAGAGAAGUAGUUCCGUCUUGUCGGGGUUGAUUUUCAGAUGGUGGGCGGAUCCACUGAGAGAUGUCAGUCAGACAGGCAGAGAUCCGAGUGAGGGAAGGAGAGGAUUAGUUGGUGUCAUCAGCAUAGCUGUGGUAGGAGAAGCCAUGCGAGCGAAUGACAGCGCAGAGAGAGUUGGUGUAGAGCGAGAAGAGGAGGAGACCCAGGACGGAACCCUGAGGAACUCCAGUAGUAAGAGGACAAGGUUCCGACACAGAUCCUCUCCAGGUUACUCGGUAGGUGCGUCCGUCGAGGUAGGACGAGAGAAGGGAGAGAACAGAGCCUGAGACACCAAGUUCCUGAAGGGAGGAGACAAGGGUCUGCUGGUUGACUGUGUCAAAUGCAGCAGAGAGGUCCAGAAGGACGAGGACAGAGGAGAGAGAGGAGCUCUAGCAGUGUGGAGCUGCUCUGAGACAGCGAGGAGAGCAGUCUCUGUGGAACGGCCUUGAAGCCUGACUGGUGGGGGUCAAGGAGGUUGUUAUGGUGGAGAUAAGAGGAGAGCUGGUUAAAGAUCACACGUUCAAGGGUUUUGGGCAAUCAGGGAAGAAGAGAGACCGGUCUGUAGUUGUGUUCUUCAGACGGGUUGAGGGUGGGUUUCUUCAGGAGAGGGUUGACUCUUCUCCUUCAGAGAAAACAUCCAGAUAACAGAGCGUUGUUGAUGAGACAGGUGAGGAAAGGAAGAAGGUCGGGAGUGAUAGAUUGUAGAAGAUGUGAUGGAAUGGGGUCAAGAGGGCAGGUGGUUGGACGGGCAGAGGUUACUAGGGUAAGAACUUGGUUAGGAGACGGGGGUGAAGGAGGAGAGUGAGGGCGAUAGAGGUGGGUUUGAGAAAGAGGAGCGUAUGUCAGCUACAGUUGUGCUCAUAAGUUUACAUACCCUGGCAGUAUUAAUGAUUUCUCGGCCAUUUUUCAGAGAAUAUGAAUGAUAACACAAAAACCUUUCUUUCACUUAUGGUUUGUGGUUGGGUGAAGCCAUUUAUUAUCAUUCAACCGUGUUUACGCCUUUUAAAUCAUAAUGAUACCAGAAACUACCCAAAUUACCCUGAUCAAAAGUUUGAAGAAUGAGAUGAUCUUCUUGUUGAUGACAGGAUCUGGAAUGACCGUUAAUUGACAAGCAGGCAGGCAGGAGACAAACUAAUAAGAUGGAGAAUUCGUGACAGAGCUGAUAGAGGAGGAACAGAGGAGGCCGGAGAGGGAGAGAGGGAGGGAAUGUCUCGACGGACUGUUACAGAGUUAGUUCAUGGGUCGCUAGUUAUAGAAAGUGGGAGAUGAAGGAGUGGUGGUAUUGAUUAUAUUUGUAUGAAUAAUAAUAUCAGUAAUAAUGUAAUACUGUAAAAGUAGC
ensembl:lncRNA